GACGAACGCUGGCGGCGUGCUUAACACAUGCAAGUCGAACGGAAAGGCCCUGCUUUUGUGGGGUGCUCGAGUGGCGAACGGGUGAGUAACACGUGAGUAACCUGCCCUUGACUUUGGGAUAACUUCAGGAAACUGGGGCUAAUACCGGAUAGGAGCUCCUGCUGCAUGGCGGGGGUUGGAAAGUUUCGGCGGUUGGGGAUGGACUCGCGGCUUAUCAGCUUGUUGGUGGGGUAGUGGCUUACCAAGGCUUUGACGGGUAGCCGGCCUGAGAGGGUGACCGGCCACAUUGGGACUGAGAUACGGCCCAGACUCCUACGGGAGGCAGCAGUGGGGAAUAUUGCACAAUGGGCGGAAGCCUGAUGCAGCAACGCCGCGUGCGGGAUGACGGCCUUCGGGUUGUAAACCGCUUUCGCCUGUGACGAAGCGUGAGUGACGGUAAUGGGUAUAGAAGCACCGGCUAACUACGUGCCAGCAGCCGCGGUGAUACGUAGGGUGGGAGCGUUGUCCGGAUUUAUUGGGCGUAAAGGGCUCGUAGGUGGUUGAUCGCGUCGGAAGUGUAAUCUUGGGGCUUAACCCUGAGCGUGCUUUCGAUACGGGUUGACUUGAGGAAGGUAGGGGAGAAUGGAAUUCCUGGUGGAGCGGUGGAAUGCGCAGAUAUCAGGAGGAACACCAGUGGCGAAGGCGGUUCUCUGGGCCUUUCCUGACGCUGAGGAGCGAAAGCGUGGGGAGCGAACAGGCUUAGAUACCCUGGUAGUCCACGCUGUAAACGGUGGGUACUAGGUGUGGGGUCCAUUCCACGGGUUCCGUGCCGUAGCUAACGCUUUAAGUACCCCGCCUGGGGAGUACGGCCGCAAGGCUAAAACUCAAAGGAAUUGACGGGGCCCCGCACAAGCGGCGGAGCAUGCGGAUUAAUUCGAUGCAACGCGUAGAACCUUACCUGGGUUUGACAUGGAUCGGGAGUGCUCAGAGAUGGGUGUGCCUCUUUUGGGGUCGGUUCACAGGUGGUGCAUGGCUGUCGUCAGCUCGUGUCGUGAGAUGUUGGGUUAAGUCCCGCAACGAGCGCAACCCUUGUUCACUGUUGCCAGCACGUUAUGGUGGGGACUCAGUGGAGACCGCCGGGGUCAACUCGGAGGAAGGUGGGGAUGACGUCAAGUCAUCAUGCCCCUUAUGUCCAGGGCUUCACGCAUGCUACAAUGGCUGGUACAGAGAGUGGCGAGCCUGUGAGGGUGAGCGAAUCUCGGAAAGCCGGUCUCAGUUCGGAUUGGGGUCUGCAACUCGACCUUAUGAAGUCGGAGUCGCUAGUAAUCGCAGAUCAGCAACGCUGCGGUGAAUACGUUCCCGGG
rnacentral:rRNA from 1 species